GACGAACGCUGGCGGCGUGCCUAAUACAUGCAAGUCGAACGCUUCUUUCCUCCCGAGUGCUUGCACUCCAUUGGAAAGAGGAGUGGCGGACGGGUGAGUAACACGUGGGUAACCUACCCAUCAGAGGGGGAUAACACUUGGAAACAGGUGCUAAUACCGCAUAACAGUUUAUGCCGCAUGGCAUAAGAGUGAAAGGCGCUUUCGGGUGUCGUUGAUGGAUGGACCCGCGGUGCAUUAGCUAGUUGGUGAGGUAACGGCUCACCAAGGCCACGAUGCAUAGCCGACCUGAGAGGGUGAUCGGCCAUACUGGGACUGAGACACGGCCCAGACUCCUACGGGAGGCAGCAGUAGGGAAUCUUCGGCAAUGGACGAAAGUCUGACCGAGCAACGCCGCGUGAGUGAAGAAGGUUUUCGGAUCGUAAAACUCUGUUGUUAGAGAAGAACAAGGACGUUAGUAACUGAACGUCCCCUGACGGUAUCUAACCAGAAAGCCACGGCUAACUACGUG
rnacentral:rRNA from 1 species